rnacentral:misc_RNA from 1 species
AGCUAUUAAAUCUGGAGUAUCGGAACCACCUAAGCCAAAAUGUUCAAGGUUAAAAAUUAAACAGUACACUAACACAACAUAAAUGUGGCUUUGUACGAUCUGAAGAGAUUUUGUAAAAGAUAGGAAUCAAGAAACAAUUACAUGGUCAUUUCGCACAUAACUUGUGUUUAGCUGGAAACUAAUUCUCUUUAAAAAUAUAGUUACCUCAUCCACAAAAUCACUUAAGGAAUACGAUUUUUUUCACUGAAUUUUCUUGAUUUUACAUUUAAAUGUGAUGAUAAUCUCACAGUAAAUCAAAAUUAACUAACAUAAAGCAUUCAAUUCAAACCUUGUAUAGUACAUACUUAUGGAGUUAUUCAAUUAUUGGUCAAUAUUAUGCAACUAACUGGAUAUGCAGUAUUGAUGGCAAUGGUAACCAGAUAGUCAAGGUCAAUAUACACAUUUAAUGGUGAAUAGUUCCAUUGAACCAGGUCAGUGAUUGUUUUGUCAUAUACAAGUACAUUUAAUUUGGAGGUUUUGCUUCCCCUGCCAUCGAGUCAGUUUUGACGUUUUAUCACAACUAUAUAUAUUACUUUGUUACGGCCAAUGGAAGGUGUUAAGACUUGGAUUAAAAAUAAAUUAUUUGUCAUUUUUUACGCUGUCAUAAAACACCUACAAUCUAUAUCUUUCAGAAGUACCUAAGCAGAGCUUGGUGAGGCGUGUGUGAAUGACAAAGAUUGUGUUAUUAACACAAUUUGUAAUGGAACAUGUGUUUGCCCACAAGGAUAUAGAAAUGUUUCUGGAAUUUGCAAAGCGUGCGAAGGGUAUGCUUGUGUCUCGGCGUUGACUGAAGAGAGUAAUGAAGAGUGCAUUAUUUGUAAUCCAGAAUGCAAUUCAACAUUCACAGUGUUUCGAGACAUUAAUGUAGAGUUUCUGAAUCCCGAUUCGGAUUCGUGCUAUUCUGAGUCCGCUGGCGGAUAUUUCAAAAACAGAUGCAGACGAAUAUGUGAUAUCACCCCAAUUUGCAAACACGGCUUUCAACUGGACGAUGUUUGCAACAUCUUUACGUUUGGCUGCUUACUUCGCGUAACAAAAGGUGGUAAUAGCUCUUUUUGGACUCGAGGCUGUUAAAAGCUUCAAAUAUAAAGGACAUAAAGGCUGAGGACUGAGGAGGGGGUGAAUAAGAGGGAUUAAAUUUUAAUUCUUUGUGUGUUCCAAAAAUAUGCUCCUAGUACACGCACGCACACACGCCUUUUUCUAACAAAAAAAUAAAAAUAUAAUAAAGACAAUGUCACAUGGGAAAACACAAAUAGCACACCUUAUCACCCAAUAGCUCCUGAUAGGCUUUCUGUAAGACUGGUAUUAAGGUUUGUUUCACACAUCAUUGACAGAUUCCAUUUGGAAUGUUGUAUCAGAACCAUUAUCUUCGGAUAUUGAACGACAUAAUUAAGAAAACGGGUUCUUACACAUGUUUAUCUCGGAGAUAAGAAUGUUAUCGCCUUUACUAGAAUUGUUCUGUAGUUUGAUGCGGACAUCACACAGCUCUGAAAUACUAGUAUGCAUAGAAAAUUUUACAUAUAGAUAUUAUUGAACUGUGGGUUAUUGCACUGGGAGCAGAAAACUUUCUUUCAUAUAAGAAGGCAUGAGGGCUCGAUCCCACGACCUCCAGAAUGAGCAGCCAACAUUUUUUUCAUUUGAUCGACCAAAUUUUACGUCAUGAUCUUUAUGGAACAGCUAACAGUAAGAAAUAGAAAAGCUGUAAUAAAUUAAUUGCCUUCAUUACAAAAACAUUCGUGUGACCGUUGAUAUAUUUAUAUCGUUUCCAAUUCAUUGGUCAUAGAAAUCCAGUGAAAAGAAAUGUUUUGGAAUGUUUUCAUGUUAAGUCAAAAACUUUAAAUAAAUGAAAUUUAUACGUGAUUAUAAAAUAUUGUGAUGCAUACAUAAACCUCUCAAAAAGCAAACUCAUUCCUAUAUUUGUAGUUUAGGAAAGUUUCAUGUAUUGUGGUGUUUGUUUUUGUUUUGGACUGUAUUUGUAUUGUCAUAAACUGGCAGCUUGUCACGCACGCACGCACGCACACACGCACGCAAACACUUUCCUCCUGCUCAGUCCUCUGUUUUGAAAACGAUUUUACGCAUUUAAAUAAAAAACACAGACAUUUUAUCAAAGACGAAAUGUUAAAGUUCAUUAUAUCACAAUGAUUUUUAUUUUAAUUCCAUGGGUUCUGUAACUUAGAUAUUUAGAAAUUUUAUUGGAUACUACUACGUUCAAAAGAAAUAAACACUGAAAGUUUU